rnacentral:tRNA from 1 species
GCCAAAAUAUCUCAGUUGGGAGAGUGUUAGACUGAACAUCUAAAGGUCUGUGGUUCAAUCCCGGGUUUCGGCA